rnacentral:misc_RNA from 1 species
AUGAGUAGCCAAAGACGAUUGCAAACUUUUGCCAACCACCUCGCACCAUCUCCUGCAUUAGAAAACUGUUCCAAAACAGAUGGCGACCAAGCAGUCAAGAAAUUUCCUGGAAGACAUGAUAUCUUGAAGUGGAAUGGAUGGGGUUAUGCAGAUUCACAAUUUUCAAUCAAGGAUGACCAGAAGGCAUGUUUUACUGGGUCUCGAUACAUGCUCAGUGGGCAAACAUUUCCUAAGCUUGUAGAAUGGUUUGAAAAUGAAUGCCAUGCAGAUAGAGCCCAGAAGAGCUUGGCAAAACCACUGCCGAAUCCAGAUUCACUGCCAAAGCCAAUCGUGAAUGAGAUGUUUCUUGACCAGAUAAAGCAUUUAAAAGUGGACCAUACAUUAGACCCUAUCAUGAGGUUAUUUCAUGGUCAUGGGCAUACUGGCCAUGAGAUUUUUGUCUUGCGUCAUGGAGAGUUCAAAAGAAUACCAGAUAUAGUUAUCUGGCCACGAUGUCAUCAGGAUGUUGAGGGUAUCGUCAGAGCAGCAGUUCAAUGUAAUGUCUGUUUAAUACCAUUUGGUGGGGGAACUAGUGUGUCAACUGCGCUUGAGUGCCCAACAGAAGAAAAAAGAAUGAUCGUAUCCUUAGAUAUGACUGAAAUGAAGCGAAUUUUAUGGAUAGAUGAGGAGAAUCUUGUGGCGCACAUUGAAGCAGGGAUUAUUGGUGAAGACCUUGAACAACAGCUCCAAGCUAAAGGUCUUUGUGUCGGUCACGAGCCAGAUUCCAUGGAAUUUAGUUCACUUGGUGGAUGGGUUGCCACUAGAGCAUCUGGUAUGAAAAAGAAUAUCUAUGGUAAUAUUGAAGACAUAAUAGUCCGUAUAAGGAUGGUCACACCACAAGGAACAGUUGAAAAGAAUUGUCAAGUCCCACGUAUGUCUACAGGUCCAGACAUUCACCACUUCAUUCUUGGUUCAGAAGGAACCUUAGGAGUCGUAACAGAGGUUACUCUUCGCAUUCGUCCAGUUCCCCAGGCCAAGGUAUACGGUUCUGUAGUGUUUCCAACCCUUGAAGCAGGGAUCAAGGCAUUGCAUGAGAUUGCAAAGCAGCACUGUGCACCUGCAUCAAUACGCCUGAUGGACAAUGAACAGUUUAGAUUUGGUCAGGCACUAAAGGGUGAAGAAACAUCUUUUUUUAAAUCCUUUCUUGAUGGAGUCAAAGCUAUGUACUUGACAAAGUUCAAGGGCUUUGACCCUCAUUCUUUAGCAGUUGCAACUCUUCUCUUUGAAGGUACAAAUGAGGAAGUCCUUAUACAACAGAAACGAAUCUAUGAAAUUUCAGCAAAGUUCGGUGGAAUCCCUGCUGGAGAAGAGAACGGCAAGAGAGGCUACAUGUUAACCUUUGUCAUUGCAUAUCUAAGAGAUUUAGGAUUCGACUACUACUUCUUGGCAGAAUCCUUUGAGACAUCAGUGCCUUGGGAUCGGGUGGCCAACUUGUGCAUUAAUGUCAAGGAAUGUAUCAUAAGGAAGUGUGCUGAGCUUGGGGUAAAGUACAAACCCUUUGCAACAUGCCGUGUGACCCAAACUUAUGAUACAGGUGCUUGUGUGUACUUCUACUUUGGUUUUAAUUACAUGGGCCUGGCCGAUCCACUUAUUGUGUAUGAUGCAGUGGAGAGCUCUGCAAGGGAUGAGAUAUUGGCAAAUGGAGGGAGCUUGUCUCAUCAUCAUGGGGUUGGGAAACUCAGGAAAAAGUGGCUGAAGAAAUCCAUCUCGGAUGUUGGGUUGCAGAUGAUUAAAUCUGUGAAAGACUCAAUCGAUCCCCAGAACAUUUUUGGUAAUGGAAACUUGUACUAAAAUAUUGCAACUCAUUUUAAAAUUUGGCAUAAGGUCAGGUCAGAGAAGUCAGGUUAUACACUCCAUUGUAAAAAUCAUUGUCUGGUUAUAAACAUAGAUUUUUUUUUUUUCACGCUGUGAUUUUGUCAACUCUGAAACAUGGCUGACGUGAUGCGCCAGUAGCGUAAGUGCCCAAAACUUGAAUAAGGAGCUAUAACGACAAUGGUAUAAUCGACGCCACUGUCGUCAUCAUUAUCACCACCGCCGCCACCACCACCACUUUCGAUUCAUCAACAACAUCAUAUGACCACACCCAUCAUCAUCAUCUCGAUCAUCAUUGACUACCACCACGACCACGACCACCGCCAUCAUCUCAUCACCAUUACCUGGUAGCGUGACCAUCACACCAUGACACCUGUGAAAGCCAGGUUGGUUAGGAACAAGUAGAUCAUGAUCAUGUCGUCUGUUACUACGAGAUGUGUGAACAAGUGUCACACGAGCAAGCUUCCAAUGAUCUGGAAAGAUAUACCAUUAGUUAAACUUAAAGAUAGAGCCAUAGUUAGUUUAGCUUAGUUUAGUUUAUUCGUCACUAUUUACAGCCUGAGGUACAAUAUGCGAUCUAAUAAAUUAAGUGAGCUAAACAUAGUUAUAUAGAGAUAAAAAGGAAAACAUAGUGAAAAAGAAGUAGGUUAUUAUGAUAAAACGUGACAGGAGGAGGAUACAGGACUUGCGUCCCAAUUGACAACCUUCCCCUAUUGUAGUAAAACUGAAAAAAUACCAGGAAGUACUUCUUAGAACAAUUUUGCAUUAUGAAAAAAUUAGUAUGAAAUAGCAAGAGUGGAGAGGUCUAAAAGUUAUGACCUUAAAUAUUCUAUCAACGAAUAUUGGACUAAUUCUAACUAUACUAUUAACUAUGGUAGCCGAACACAACGAGUCUAGACUAAGAUGAAGGGUUGGCAAGUUUCACAGCAAGCGAAUAGAACUAGAACCAUCCAUACCAGUUGCCUUGGCUUUGAGGCUUUCAAGAUGUUUUUCUACUUCAAACAAUCUUUGAGGUGAGAGUGUUUAAGCGAAGUAGUGCUAUUUUAGGCCGACAGCACCUGUAUCCGGGCCGUCAUGCGUCGAUAAACGGUAUCACCCUUAACUGAGUGCAUGCGAGUAGCCAUGGGCGGACUAUAAUGAUCAUAAAAAAGACUUUUGAGCCCAUUAUAGUUUAUAAAUUAGAUGUUAAUUAAUCAGUAGGACCAUCCUUCGAUGUAUAACACGCGCACAAAGUAUAUGACA